GCCAAACUGUUGGACCUGUGACUGUGAAGGAAAGUUUCCAGGUGAAUGUGGAUAUUGGGCUAUAUUUUAUAUCGAUCUGAUUUGUGGCUAACAGAAGAUUAUCAAAUCCUCACCCACCACCAACGGGUAAGCUGGAUAGACGGACCAUUCAGCAGGCCCCUCGUAUUUAUUUCCAUCCAAUGGACCAGUGGGUGUGGAGAACAUAAAAAUAGACAUCAAGGCUGCAUACCAAAUU